GGACCAUAGCUCAGCUGGGAGAGCACCUGCCUUACAAGCAGGGGGUCACAGGUUCGAGCCCNUAGUAGGUCCC
rnacentral:tRNA from 1 species